UACGUAGGGUGCGAGCGUUAAUCGGAAUUACUGGGCGUAAAGCGUGCGCAGGCGGUCUCGUGUGUCGGCGGUGAAAGCCCCGGGCUUAACCUGGGAAUGGCCGUUGAAACUGGCGAACUGGAGUGUGGCAGAGGGGGGUGGAAUUCCGCGUGUAGCGGUGAAAUGCGCAGAUAUCAGGAGGAACACCAAUGGCGAAGGCAGAUCUCUGGGCCUAACUGACGCUGAGGAGCGAAAGCGUGGGGAGCGAACAGG
rnacentral:rRNA from 1 species